CCUACGGGGGGCUGCGGUGGGGAAUAUUGGACAAUGGGGGGAACCCUGAUCCAGCCAUGCCGCGUGUGUGAAGAAGGCCCUCGGGUUGUAAAGCACUUUCAGUGAGGAAGAACGCCUGGUGGUUAAUACCCAUCAGGAAAGACAUCACUCACAGAAGAAGCACCGGCUAACUCCGUGCCAGCAGCCGCGGUAAUACGGAGGGUGCGAGCGUUAAUCGGAAUUACUGGGCGUAAAGCGCGCGUAGGUGGCUUGAUAAGCCGGUUGUGAAAGCCCCGGGCUCAACCUGGGAACGGCAUCCGGAACUGUCAAGCUAGAGUGCAGGAGAGGAAGGUAGAAUUCCCGGUGUAGCGGUGAAAUGCGUAGAGAUCGGGAGGAAUACCAGUGGCGAAGGCGGCCUUCUGGACUGACACUGACACUGAGGUGCGAAAGCGUGGGUAGCAAACAGGAUUAGAUACCCCGGUAGUC
rnacentral:rRNA from 1 species